UGGGGAAUUUUGGACAAUGGGCGAAAGCCUGAUCCAGCAAUGCCGCGUGUGUGAAGAAGGCCUUCGGGUUGUAAAGCACUUUUGUCCGGAAAGAAAUCCUUGGCUCUAAUACAGUCGGGGGAUGACGGUACCGGAAGAAUAAGCACCGGCUAACUACGUGCCAGCAGCCGCGGUAAUACGUAGGGUGCAAGCGUUAAUCGGAAUUACUGGGCGUAAAGCGUGCGCAGGCGGUUUGCUAAGACCGAUGUGAAAAUCCCCGGGGCUCAACCUGGGAACUGCAUUGGGUGACUGGCAGGGCUAGAGUAUGGCAGAGGGGGGUAGAAUUCCACGUGUAGCAGUGAAAUGCGUAGAGAUGUGGAGGAAUACCGAUGGCGAAGGCAGCCCCCUGGGCCAAUACUGACGCUCAUGCACGAAAGCGUGGGGAGCAAACAGGAUUAGAUACCCUGGUAGUCCACGCCCUAAACGAUGUCAACUAGUUGUUGGGGAUUCAUUUCCUUAGUAACGUAGCUAACGCGUGAAGUUGACCGCCUGGGGAGUACGGUCGCAAGAUUAAAACUCAAAGGAAUUGACGGGGUCAUAGCUGUUUCCU
rnacentral:rRNA from 1 species